UCCCUUUAACACACCCGUACGGUAAACACAGAUAGGUCUAUACUGUAGGUCCAUAGGACCAAUAUCCCUUUAACACACCCGUACGGUAAACACAGAUAGGUCUAUACUGUAGGUCCAUAGGACCAAUAUCCCUUUAACACACCCGUACGGUAAACACAGAUAGGUCUAUACUGUAGGUCCAUAGGACCAAUAUCCCUUUAACACACCCGUACGGUAAACACAGAUAGGUCUAUACUGUAGGUCCAUAGGACCAAUAUCCCUUUAACACACCGUACGGUAAACACAGAUAGGUCUAUACUGUAGGUCCAUAGGACCAAUAUCCCUUUAACACACCCGUACGGUAAACACAGAUAGGUCUAUACUGUAGGUCCAUAGGACCAAUAUCCCUUUAACACACCCGUACGGUAAACACAGAUAGGUCUAUACUGUAGGUCCAUAGGACCAAUAUCCCUUUAACACACCCGUACGGUAAACACAGAUAGGUCUAUACUGUAGGUCCAUAGGACCAAUAUCCCUUUAACACACCCGUACGGUAAACACAGAUAGGUCUAUACUGUAGGUCCAUAGGACCAAUAUCCCUUUAACACACCCGUACGGUAAACACAGAUAGGUCUAUACUGUAGGUCCAUAGGACCAAUAUCCCUUUAACACACCCGUACGGUAAACACAGAUAGGUCUAUACUGUAAGUCCAUAGGACCAAUAUCCCUUUAACACACCCGUACAGUAAACACAGAUAGGUCUAUACUGUAGGUCCAUAGGACCAAUAUCCCUUUAACACACCCGUACAGUAAACACAGAUAGGUCUAUACUGUAGGUCUAUACUGUAGGUCCAUAGGACCAAUAUCCCUUUAACACACCCGUACAGUAAACACAGAUAGGUCUAUACUGUAGGUCCAUAGGACCAAUAUCCCUUUAACACACCCGUACGGUAAACACAGAUAGGUCUAUACUGUAGGUCCAUAGGACCAAUAUCCCUUUAACACACCCGUACGGUAAACACAGAUAGGUCUAUACUGUAGGUCCAUAGGACCAAUAUCCCUUUAACACACCGUACGGUAAACACAGAUAGGUCUAUACUGUAGGUCCAUAGGACCAAUAUCCCUUUAACACACCCGUACGGUAAACACAGAUAGGUCUAUACUGUAGGUCCAUAGGACCAAUAUCCCUUUAACACACCCGUACGGUAAACACAGAUAGGUCUAUACUGUAGGUCCAUAGGACCAAUAUCCCUUUAACACACCCGUACGGUAAACACAGAUAGGUCUAUACUGUAGGUCCAUAGGACCAAUAUCCCUUUAACACACCCGUACGGUAAACACAGAUAGGUCUAUACUGUAGGUCCAUAGGACCAAUAUCCCUUUAACACACCCGUACGGUAAACACAGAUAGGUCUAUACUGUAGGUCCAUAGGACCAAUAUCCCUUUAACACACCCGUACGGUAAACACAGAUAGGUCUAUACUGUAAGUCCAUAGGACCAAUAUCCCUUUAACACACCCGUACAGUAAACACAGAUAGGUCUAUACUGUAGGUCCAUAGGACCAAUAUCCCUUUAACACACCCGUACAGUAAACACAGAUAGGUCUAUACUGUAGGUCUAUACUGUAGGUCCAUAGGACCAAUAUCCCUUUAACACACCCGUACAGUAAACACAGAUAGGUCUAUACUGUAGGUCCAUAGGACCAAUAUCCCUUUAACACACCCGUACGGUAAACACAGAUAGGUCUAUACUGUAGGUCCAUAGGACCAAUAUCCCUUUAACACACCGUACGGUAAACACAGAUAGGUCUAUACUGUAGGUCCAUAGGACCAAUAUCCCUUUAACACACCCGUACGGUAAACACAGAUAGGUCUAUACUGUAGGUCCAUAGGACCAAUAUCCCUUUAACACACCCGUACGGUAAACACAGAUAGGUCUAUACUGUAGGUCCAUAGGACCAAUAUCCCUUUAACACACCCGUACGGUAAACACAGAUAGGUCUAUACUGUAAGUCCAUAGGACCAAUAUCCCUUUAACACACCCGUACCGUAAACACAGAUAGGUCUAAACUGUAGGUCCAUAGGACCAAUAUCCCUUUAACACACCCGUACGGUAAACACAGAUAGGUCUAAACUGUAGGUCCAUAGGACCAAUAUCCCUUUAACACACCCGUACGGUAAACACAGAUAGGUCUAUACUGUAGGUCCAUAGGACCAAUAGAGCAGUCAUUAGAGCUAUUUUUAUUCAUGACAUCCUGAGUUAUACACAACAGCCAAAACAUAAAUAUACCACUUGUGUUUCUUAGAUGAAACACUGCAGGGCUGUUACAUGCUCCUGUAUAGGCCAUGGACACCACCUCACAUCGUGUUUUAUUUAAUCGACUUC